CCUACGGGUGGCAGCAGUGAGGAAUAUUGGUCAAUGGACGCAAGUCUGAACCAGCCAUGCCGCGUGCAGGAUGACGGCUCUAUGAGUUGUAAACUGCUUUUGUACGAGGGUAAACCCCGAUACGUGUAUCGGGUUGCACGUCUCGUACGGAUAAGGAUGGGAUAACUCCGUGCCAGCAGCCGCGGUAAUCCGGAGGAUCCGAGCGUUAUCCGGAUUUAUUGGGUUUAAAGGGUGCGUAGGCGGUUUGGUAAGUUAGAGGUGAGAUGUCGGGGCUCAACCCCGAAACUGCCUCUAAUACUGUAGGACUAGAGAGUAGUUGCGGUAGGCGGAAUGUAUGGUGUAGCGGUGAAAUGCUUAGAGAUCAUACAGAACACCGAUUGCGAAGGCAGCUUACCAAACUAUAUCUGACGUUGAGGCACGAAAGCGUGGGUAGCAAACAGGAUUAGAUACCCGAGUAGUC
rnacentral:rRNA from 1 species